AUGGGCUCGGCAUCACCUUCACUCAUCGAUGCGUUCUGCUUUAUUCAUACUGGUGCAGCACCACUCUUUUUCUUUAAUUUGGACAGCGAGGCAUAUUUAUGUUUAAUCCAUUUUGGAGAGGCUUUAAACAAAUUUGGAAUCGGUUCAUGUGAGGAGCACAAAAGUAUGGAAGUUUGGAUAUGGAGAUUGGAGGAAGAUUGGGAUAUGGAAGCAUGA